rnacentral:pre_miRNA from 1 species
UUAACUCGCAGCCAUAAGUUUUUGUGUCUAAUUUUUAUUAUCUAUUUUAUUUAUUUUUUAUAAUUAGUAUUUUUUUUAUUGUUAUUAGAUGAUAAAACAUGAACAUUUUUUAUAAAAAAGUUAAAUAAGACGAACAAUUAAAUUUGGACACGGAAACUCAUAGCUGUGUUUAAA